CCGGAGUUGUCUGGUAAUGAGGCAAUCCUUUCCUGGCACCAAGGAAGGGCUGCCAAAACUUACCAGUUCGAAGCGAUGUCUGGUCAUCAGUUGGCGGUGGCCUUUCGCUGGAGUUGCCAAGUAAAGAAAGGGGUAGGGAGGGGAGAAGAAAAAGAAGGAGAGUGGAAUGUGAAGCUUGAUAUCUGACCUAUUUCAAGCUAUGCAGCUAUUCUCAUCUGAAGUCAUCAGUUGGGAUGGAAACCAGUCUCUCAGCAGUACUUAAACAGGUCAGAAAGUUGCCAGCAGUUCCAAUCUAUUAUUUUUAUCUCAAAGGAAAAAUCAGCAGUAGAGUGGCUUCCCUCCUUCGACUCAGUUUCAGGGAAGGGGUGAGAACACCCUGUGAAGAGGAAGGCAGAGAUUGGAAUGAUGCAGAAGAAGCCAACGAAUCUAGGAGAGAGGCAUGAAUUUCCCCUUCAUAGUCCUUGUAAGGAGCCAACCCUGCUGCACCUUUAUCUCAAAUGUCCAGCUUCCAGAACUGCAAGACAGUAAAUUUCUGCUGUUUAAGACAAAAAAAAAAAAAGUUAAGCUUUAUAUGCACAAAGCAAGACAUUACUUAUAUUAAAUGUUGUAUCUGUGAUCUUUACAACAUUUGUCAAAUAGUCUAUUAGCCAAUCAGUUGGUAGGCAGAAGUAUCUAAAUCACAUAAAAUAAUUGUGCCUAAAUAAUUCUGGUAACUUAUGUAUAAUCCGUUGAACAUCUUGACAAUCACUAAUUUAACUAAUGCAAGUUUGUCAAAUAGGGGAACUGGGGAUCCUGAUACUAAUAUAAUUUUAGAAGAUGAACAACAGUAAAGCAUUUAUGGACUGAGAGCUUAAUGUGUUUAUUUCUUUUAAAAUUUUACAAACUGCUGGGUGUGUUGGCUUAUGCCUCUAAUCUCAGCACUUUGGGAGACUGAGGCAGGUGAAUUGCUUGAGCCCAGGAGUUCACGACCAGCUUGGGCAACGUAGUGAGAACUAAUUUCUACUAAAAAUUAAACAAAAAAAUAGUCAAGUGUGGUGGUACACACCUGAAAUCCCAGUUAUUCUGGAGACUGUGGCAGUAAGAUCAUUUGAGCCCAAGAUACUGAGACUACUGUGAGCCAUGAUUGUGCCACUGCACUCCAGCUCAGGCAACAGACUGAGACCCUGUCUCAAAAAUAAAUAAAUACAAAUAAAAUAAAAUUUUACAAACUUUCUGAUUUAGCAGUCACUAAAAACCACAUGAAAAAUCUAUUAUAUAUACACCAUCUUUUAAAAUAAAUACAUUGUAAUUUUGAAAAAUUGUGUUAUUUCCCUGAAAUCAACGUUAGCAAACAAUGGGGCUAAUAUAAAUCCAGAUAUGUUCAACUUCAAAGCCUAUACUACAAUUACUCUUGUAAAAAUAGUUUUCCAGUUAUGCCUCAACUUGUUUUAACUAGUGGAAAAAAAAAGCUUUCCAGCCCAUUAUGAGAAAGAAAAUUUAACUUCUCUAUUACAUAACUUGAUUACAUAAAUUACUAUAACCUAAUAAGUGCAGUUAACUUGACAUCCUCACUUAACAUAUGGAAGAGCACAUUUAUGACACAUUUAUAGACAUCAGUAUGGCAUUGUAUAUCAGAAAUUAAAAUGUGGAUAAGAUUUUGUCCCCCAAAUUUUACUACAAUAAAUUUGUUUUAAGGAAAUAUUGAAGUAGCAAAGAUGUAUGUUUAAGAAUAUUAAUUAUUACAGUGCUAAAAAAUAAAAUAUAGAACAAAAACUGAAUACAAAAUGUGACUAGAAUGUCAAAUAGAUGUCUACAUUCCCAUAUUUAUUGAAACAUUUUUCAUUAUAGCCAAGAUUUGCAAGCAACCUAAGUGCCUCUCAACAAAUAAAGAGAUUGUUUAAAUGUUUUGUGUGUGUGUGUGUGUAUAAUGGAAUACUGUUCAAUCUUUAGAAAAAAUAAAAUUCUGCAAUUUGCAACAACAUGAAUAAAGCUAGAGGACAUUUAUACUGAAUGAAAUAAGUCAUGUACAGAUAAACAAAUAUUACAUGCUCUCACUUAUAUGUGCAAGCAAAAAUUUGAGCUUACACAAGUAAGGGGUAAAAUGGUUACUACCAAAAACUAGGGCAGGAGUGCAUGGAGAAAGGAAAAUGUUGGUUAAAAGGUACAAAAUUUCAAUUAGAUAAGAGAAAAAAGUUAUGGUGAUCUAAUGCAUACCAAGUAAUUACAAUUAAUAAUAAUGAAUUUUCUAUUUAUAAUUGCAAAAAGGGGGAUUUUAAAUGUUCUUAACAAAAAUAAAUGUGAGAAUUGACAGAUAUAUUAAUUAACCUAAUUUGUUCAAUCCACAAUGUAUACCUGUAUCUAUGCAUCACA
rnacentral:lncRNA from 1 species